rnacentral:lncRNA from 1 species
CCACAAGGCGACAGGCUUCAGGCUUGAGAUAUACCUCGCCACAGGCUACGGCUACGCUUCUGCCAGCAGCGUGGAUAAGGAAGAACGGUUCACAAAGUCCCCGGAUUAUUAUGACUGUGUGCAUAAGAAAGAACGGUUUAUCUUCACUGCAGCGGGUGCGGCACAUCUGUCGUGCUCCGGUAAGCAGGCGCCAGGAGUGCGCGCAUGGAAUGGGAGGGCUCAAGGGCAAGACUUCGAGAGCACCAUUCUUUGUUAAUCGGGAAGAACAAGCUGGGCUGACCAUUAAUCUGGCAGAGCAGCAGUAAGCGAAAUGUGUAACUACUGAUCUCAACAGUCUGAGAUGUACUAAUACUACUGAAUAAACAAAAUACUAACCAUGGCGACAAUUCAAGUCUGAGCGACGUCACAGGGCGUCAGGCUUCAGAUAUACGUACCACCUAGCCUAGCCAAUGUGUCUGCUUCCUCUUCUUUAGCAUGGCUCCAGCCAGCAUAUAACUGCAUAACCACUACCCCGCGGACCUGUUGCGCAAGUCAAUUCAGGAGCCUCUCCUUGGCAGCCAAUUCUGGAACGUUUUCAACUCGGUUAACCUGAUAACAACAUGGAGGGUGGAGCCAGCUAGUGUAUUAGCCCCUGAGUUCCCACUGGAUCGUAUAAAUGAUACGAUAAUACAAUUUUAUCCCUCCCCUGUAAAAAGUAGAUUUGUUCAGCACUAAAAGACCACAGUACCGAUGAUUUGUCAGAAAAGUCCCAACCAAAACUAAUGAAUCAGCAAAAACAAAAUAUGGUUGCUCUCAAGUUCUCUAGUUUUUUGUUAGUGAAGAGCAUAAAAAACGCAAUAAUUGUAACAUUUUCCAGGAUGACGGUAAUGCUUUAUUGUCCCAGUGAGAAACUGAGCAUGACCAGUAAAUCCAAGAGUAAGCAUGCAACUGGUUACUUCAAAAUGUUAUUUCUUGCACUUCACUGGGGGCUUAAUUAUUACUCCCUCUGUUGUACAGAAAUAAAUAUAAGAGCAUUUAGCUCACGCUCUUAUAUUUCUUUACGGAGGGGGUACUCGUACCUCACAUCAUUGAACUCUGUGCAGUAUUUAGGUACACCCGCUGCCAGAGACGCCAAGUAGGUGUGUAUAUCAGUCCUUGCAUACCUCUGUGAGCAUGGCGUCAUAGAUCCGGUACCUUUCAGCGCCCUCAACAUUCCAGCAGCAUCUAAGCCUUCUCCAAUUACUCACAG